AAUGGGCCAAAGAUCGGGUUCAUGGACCAACGGGCCCAAUUCAGUAAGUAUGUGCGGAAAUCCCCAACCAUAGUGGGCUUGGAGCUGUGAGGGAAUUCGGAGUGUCCACCCGUUCUGAAAGUUUGAUUUUCUUCUGGUGAACUGGACAUCCUUUUAUUUACGUUUGAAGUUUUGGGUUUUUAAAUGUAAUAAGGCCGCUUAAUUAUUUUUGAUGGUUUUAAUAUGUAUUACUAAGAUAGGUAUUACUUAUUUUAACUAUUGAAAUUGGAUAA